CUAAACAUUCAGAACCCUAAUCUUCCAGCCUCCAUCGUCGUUCUUCUCCAAUCGAUGAACUAAUCAGAUACGCAUUCAGAUUACAAUAACAAUCAAAAUGAUAUUGAUUAGGUGAGGUUUUUUUGUGUACGUAUAUCUGAAAACCGUAUGAAGCAAUCGAAUCAUAUUUAUUAUUCACAAACCCUAAACUCUACUAUGCCGCUUCAGAUCAUAUCGCCUUUUCAUCAAUUGCUCUCGCAUCUUAGUUCUUAAUCUAUCGUUUUCUCUAUAUCUAUCAAUUCGAUGUGUAAGGCCUACCAAAGUGAAAAAUGAUUUUGUUUCAGUUCAUUAAGCAGAGAUGUUCUUCUGUUGGUCUUAAAUAAUGAUGCCGGAGAAUCUGAUGAAGAUAAUGAUCAACAUGUUUUCGAAGCUGAGGGAUAUGCAGUUUAAUGAUUAUGUCGGCUGGCUUAGAUUUGUGUUUCCACCUUUGAUUUCUGAGUGAUGAAGAAGCAGGGUGUGAAGGGGCAAAUGGCUUGGGUAUGGAGCUUUAUGUGUCAAUUUGAAUGCAUAUAUUUCUUAAUAUGUAGUGACAUUUGCAGCAUUUUAUAUAUUGCGUAUAUGAUUUCUGGUUUGAAACUUGUGAGAAGCUUAGGAAAAUUCAGCGGACGCUUCUUUGACAAUGAACCACCAAGGAAGACACUUUUUGUACGACAAUAAUGAAGUGGAGCUUGAAAAGCGAAGAAAGAGGACCAGUACAGCUUGGGUUCAAUUAACAUCACAGUGAGGACUUCUAACUUUGGUGAGAUGCGUCAAGAACUGAUAUGGAUCCCAAAGAGUCAUCAGCAGGAUGGGCCCGCACCAUAUGCUGCUAGAGAUAAUGAUAAUUUCAUAUCUUUUGUAACUGAAUUUUUUGUGCAAUCAUCUAGAGGUCACAGAUAAAGACCAAGCUGCUGCACACUUGAUGGUUAUCAUUGAUGCAUUUUUAGAUUAUUGCAGGUUUUAUUGUUUACUAGGGAGGUGUAUAGAAGGUUGUGAUCUCAGCUUCAAGUGUAAAUGCUCUCAUGUUUGUCAUGGGUGUAAAUGAAAGGUUACAAAUAUGAUACAAGUAUUGUGUCUAUGCUAGCUGCAACACUAAUUCUCUUGCUCUAUUAGCAAAGGUUAGAUCCAUUAGCAAAGGUUGGAUUUGUUACUUGCAGCAAAGGUGGGAAAUUUUAAGAUUUGGAAUAUAUUGUCAAAACUUUAAAUUUAAACUUGAGAGCUAAAGAAUGAAGCCCUUAACAUUUUUUGCUUGCAAAAUAUAAGUGACAAUGUAGAACCAUAACACUUCAAACCGAAUAACAUGUAAUAGUUUUUUUAACAUUUUGCACCUUGCAUGUGCUCGGCCAGAGAGUUAUGUGCUUCUUGAGUUCUUUUUGAAGUACUGUUUUAUGAAGAAAUGCUUUAUUUUCAAAAAGAAAAAAACAAACAGGGAUAUUGCCAUUCUUAACUGUCAACUGUUGUAACUCAAACAUAUAGGUAAACAUAUAGCUGCUCUUUGUUUAAACAAUACAAGUUUUGUUAAAUAGCUGCUUUGUUGUUUCUGAUUGUAGGUUACUCUUUUCUGACAAUUACUAUUGAUGGAAGCAAACAACUCAAAUACCAUGUCAUACCGCCAGGUGAGCUUCUUGUGCAUAAAUUUACGGAAUUACGAGCUCCUGAACUUGAUUCCCUCUACUCAACAAUUGCUAGCCUGCUAGCCGGCUGAAUAACGAUUUCAGAUCUCAGAGAAAUAAGAGGAGAUAACUACUGGUUUUCACAAUCGGGCUUCUAAAACUAGAUUUAGAGAUAAGCAAAAAGCGCAAAAAGAAGCUUAACAAGAAUCUUGAUAGUGGUUUUUGCAUGUCUGGUGAUGGGACAAAGAGGCUUUGAAGACAUGUUUGGCAUGCAAAACGUUUUACAAUGACUAAGCUUUGGGGUUUCCACCUUCCUUUUGGUUUUUAUGGCAGUGUUGUUGGAACUCAUUCCCAUACAGCCAUGUUAGAUAAAUUAGGAGUAGCGAGUUGCGGAGUAGGAGGAUUUGAAGCAGAGCCAACAAUGCAUGGACAGGACUUGGUUCUUCUUCACAAGGAGUGAUGGAUGUCCGUUGUGGCUAUGGAUAUAUUGCCAUGGAGAGGAGUUUCAAGUACAGAUGAAUUAAAAUUUAUUUAAUCUACUUAAUUAGGGUUCAGAAGCGAGAAGAUGCUCAUGGGAAUGAAGUGUGUUGAGGCCUGGUUAUUCAAAAUAUGUUGGGGUUUCUAAAGAAAAGAAGAAAAAGACGCAAAAAGUUUAUGCAGUCAAGACUUUCUGCUUAAGGAGUCUGGAUACAUGGAGUCUCAGGUUAAAAGGAAGAAUUUGUUGGGGGAUCAUAUACACUUCGCUUUGGUGCUUAUGGAAGGAGCGGAAUGGGAGAGUUUUUAGGUGGGCAAUGCUCACCUGAUAAACUAUAGAGGGCAUCAUUUCCACUCCUUUUAGUUGUGGCUUAAUAAUAGGUACAAGACCAAGUGUUGCUGGGAAGAUUGGGUGUCUAAACCCUUGUCUUGUGUUUAGUUUUAUUUCUAUUUUCUUCCAUGUUGUGGGGAAACUAGGUGUCUAACCCCAUGCCCUUUUUCAAUUUAUGGUGUGUUUUGCUGGUUAAAAGAAGAAAAAAAAAACUGCCCACCAGAUGCAAUUUUAGUGUUUUUGUUUAGAAUUUUUAGCCUGGGUGUUUGGAAUAUUUUAUCUUUAUUUCUUCUUCUGUAUCCUUCUGAUUGUUGCUUCAAAGUGUUGCAAUUUGAUUCA